GACGAACGCUGGCGGCGUGCCUAACACAUGCAAGUCGAGCGGGGAGAAGAAUUCGUUUUUCUCUUUAGCGGCGGACGGGUGAGUAACGCGUGGGUAACCUGCCCUAUGCAGGGGGAUAACGUUUGGAAACGAACGCUAAUACCGCAUAAUCUAGUUGGUUCGCAUGAACUGAUUAGCAAAGAUUUUAUCGGCAUAGGAUGGACCCGCGGUAGAUUAGCUAGUUGGUGAGAUAAAAGCCCACCAAGGCAACGAUCUAUAGCCGGCCUGAGAGGGUGAACGGCCACACUGGGACUGAGACACGGCCCAGACUCCUACGGGAGGCAGCAGUGGGGAAUAUUGCACAAUGGGCGCAAGCCUGAUGCAGCGACGCCGCGUGAAGGAUGAAGGUCUUCGGAUCGUAAACUUCUAUCAGCAGGGAAGAAACCAUGACGGUACCUGACUAAGAAGCCCCGGCUAACUACGUGCCAGCCGCCGCCGUAAAAC
rnacentral:rRNA from 1 species